CCUCGGUAAUACGGAGGGAGCUAGCGUUGUUCGGAAUUACUGGGCGUAAAGCGUGCGUAGGCGGUGACUCAAGUCAGAGGUGAAAGCCUGGAGCUCAACUCCAGAACUGCCUUUGAAACUAGGUCGCUAGAAUCUGGGAGAGGUGGGUGGAAUUCCGAGUGUAGAGGUGAAAUUCGUAGAUAUUCGGAAGAACACCAGUGGCGAAGGCGGCUCACUGGACCAGAAUUGACGCUGAGGCACGAAAGCGUGG
rnacentral:rRNA from 1 species